GUGAACAAUAAUCUAAAUCCACUCUGGAGGCCCCUACAUCUGAGCAUGCAGCAAUUCGGAAGCAAGGAUAAUCCACUGGUUAUUGAGUGUUUUGAUUUUAACAGCAACGGCAAUCAUGUUCUUAUUGGGAAGCUUCAGAAAUCAGUUGCUGAGCUGGAAAAGCUUCAUAGAGAAGGAAGUGGUGCAAAUUUCAUCUCGCCAUCUCAUCGAGGUCAUGAGAAGGUUCUGAAGGGUCAGCUGUUUGUGGAUCGAUUUGUGGAGAGGGAUCAGCACAGUUUUCUGGAUUAUAUAUCAAGUGGCUUUGAGCUAAAUUUUAUGGUGGCUGUUGACUUUACAGCUUCAAAUGGAAAUCCUCGAAAUCCAGAUUCCUUGCACUAUAUUGAUCCUUCGGGCUGUUUGAAUUCUUAUCAGCGGGCUAUAAUGGAAGUGGGGGAGGUCAUACAAUUUUAUGAUUCUGAUAGGCGUUUUCCUGCUUGGGGCUUUGGGGGAAGGACACCUGCUGGUACAAUAUCACAUUGUUUUAACUUGAAUGGAAGUCCUAGUGGCUUUGAGGUUGAGGGCAUUGAAGGCAUCAUGGCUGCUUAUGAAACUGGUCUACGCAAUGUUGCUCUGGCAGGACCUACUUUAUUUGGACAAGUGAUCAACACAGCUGCUCAAGUUGCUGGUCAGUCUCUCUCGGACAAUAACAACAAGUAUUUUGUCUUGCUCAUUAUAACGGAUGGAGUACUCACAGAUCUUCAAGAAACUAAAGAUGCUUUGGUGAAGGCUUCUGAUCUUCCACUAUCAAUUCUUAUAGUUGGAGUAGGAGGUGCAGACUUUACACAAAUGGAGAUCCUUGAUGCUGAUCAUGGAUGUAGACUCGAGAGUUCUACUGGUAGGGUGGCUACACGAGAUAUAGUACAAUUUGUUCCAAUGCGAGAAGUGCACAGUGGACAGCUGUCUGCGGUUCAAGCCCUUUUGGAAGAGCUGCCUGGACAGUUUUUAUCCUAUGUGCGGUCUAGAGAUAUCAAACCAUUUGCUCGCCAUGGAACUUGAAGAUUUGAUUGGGAGCAGGAGGGGGUUUAUUCCGAAGUUCCUUAAAAAAGAAAACUCACUCUCUGAGCAAGGAGGAAGCCGCCCCUCCUCGAAAGGGGCAGAGGACAGCUGUGGCUUAGCAAGAAAGAGCGGUCAGAACCUGCAGAAAAAUGAAAGGCGAAAGAAAGAACUAGAGAGAGACCUCUUCUCUUGAAUGCCAUAGUUUUCUUUUAUUUUUUUUUUCUUUUGUUAGAGAUAAUAAUUCAUUCGUUAGGAGGCCUUAAAUAGCAGAGAAUACAAGUUUAAAAAGUCCCUAUAGCCUUAAGAAGUAGAAUUGGACAUCACUCCCCACUCUGUGCCUAUUGUGGCAAUGUAGAGACAAUGAAGCACCUUUUUAUCCUCUGCCUGAAGACAAUAGAAUUCUGGUUUCACUCCCAAUUCCAGCUUCGCCCUACCUUUCUUCUUGGAGGUUCAUUGAUUAAAUGUUGGAGUGAGAUUACAGAGCAUUUAAUCUGUCAUGAAGAUGGAAAAAAUCUGAUCAUUAAGCUGGUUUUUCUUUUAUGGCAAGUCUAGAAAGCUAGGAAUUCUCUUGUUUUUAAACAUUAGCUCCUACCUGUCUUUGAAGUGAUUUGGGCAGCUUCAGUACAAAGUGGUGACUUUCUUACCUCACAACAGUUUGAAGAGUACAAUCAUAUCUUACCGGUGCUCUUAGACUCACAGUCCAAUCCCUAGGCUGGUGUUGUGAAGAGCAAUUUUGAUGGGCUUUUAAUAAGCUAAGCAAUUUUGGGGCAGUCUCUGCUUUAGCGAGAUAUUGGCGAGGUACCCCUCUUGGCUAAACCUGGCGUCAAUUUCCAGGUAUCACAAAUCCCCUAGUCAUCGAGAGCUUGACAUGUCGUGAAGCAAUUUUACUUGCUUGGUGUUCUUUUUGAAGGAGAUUCUUUAUCAGUCAUCAUAGUUGCAAAGGGUUUUAAUACUCCUCUUGCCAUUCGGAACAUCUUUGAUGUUAAUCACUUUUCUGAGUUUAUUUAACCAAGUUGAUUUUCUUCAUGUUAAGGGUAGGGUUGUGCACGGUUGUCAGGA
rnacentral:misc_RNA from 1 species